GUGCACGGCCAACUGCUGCAUAGUUUUGUAGAGGAAAAUCCGCUCUAGCACUUGCUGCGAUGCAAGUAGUGUUCAUGCUAGGCCAAAUAAGCCUAGGCAAUUAUUUUUGAAUAUUUAAUUGACGACUAGUGCAACAGAGACGAGCUUAUUAAGUUAAGGUGCAACGAUGUAAACUCCAUGAGUUAGAAACCCAAAUUUUGGUAGGGGAACUCAAUCAAGAUAAAUGAAUUAAGAUUGGGAAGUUUUUUAAAAACUUAGAUAAAUAGUUGGCACUGUAUUUAGAAUUAAAUACAGAUACAAAAAGCGGUUUAUAGUG
rfam:Mycoplasma alkalescens 14918 contig00018, whole genome shotgun sequence.